rnacentral:rRNA from 1 species
AGAGUUUGAUCCUGGCUCAGAUUGAACGCUGGCGGAAUGCUUUACACAUGCAAGUCGAACGGUAGAGGGGGCAACCCCUUGAGAGUGGCGAACGGGUGAGUAAUAUAUCGGAACGUGCCCAGUCGUGGGGGAUAACGUAGCGAAAGUUACGCUAAUACCGCAUACGAUCUAAGGAUGAAAGCGGGGGAUCGCAAGACCUCGCGCGAUUGGAGCGGCCGAUAUCAGAUUAGGUAGUUGGUGGGGUAAAGGCUCACCGAGCCAACGAUCUGUAGCUGGUCUGAGAGGACGACCAGCCACACUGGAACUGAGACACGGUCCAGACUCCUACGGGAGGCAGCAGUGGGGAAUUUUGGACAAUGGACGCAAGUCUGAUCCAGCCAUUCCGCGUGCAGGAUGAAGGCCCUCGGGUUGUAAACUGCUUUUGUACGGAACGAAAAGGUUUCCAUUAAUACUGGGGGCUCAUGACGGUACCGUAAGAAUAAGCACCGGCUAACUACGUGCCAGCAGCCGCGGUAAUACGUAGGGUGCAAGCGUUAAUCGGAAUUACUGGGCGUAGAGCGUGCGCAGGCGGUUAUGUAAGACAGAGGUGAAAUCCCCGGGCUCAACCUGGGAACUGCCUUUGUGACUGCAUAGCUAGAGUACGGUAGAGGGGGAUGGAAUUCCGCGUGUAGCAGUGAAAUGCGUAGAUAUGCGGAGGAACACCGAU